UACGUAUGGAGCAAGCGUUAUCCGGAUUUACUGGGUGUAAAGGGUGCGUAGGUGGCAGUGCAAGUCAGAUGUGAAAGGCCGGGGCUCAACCCCGGAGCUGCAUUUGAAACUGCAUAGCUAGAGUACAGGAGAGGCAGGCGGAAUUCCUAGUGUAGCGGUGAAAUGCGUAGAUAUUAGGAGGAACACCAGUGGCGAAGGCGGCCUGCUAGACUAUUACUGACACUGAGGCACGAAAGCGUGGGGAGCAAACAGG
rnacentral:rRNA from 1 species